GUAGAGAGUAAGAAACGAAUAGGGAGAAGGAGGAAAAGUUGAGAGAUCUUUUAUUCAGUCUCAUAGGCCUCCAUUAUAUAGAGGUAGGGUUUACACGAUAAGUACUCAGACUAUUGAGAUAUUACAUGUAAGUCCCUAACUAAUAACGUGGACAGCCACAUAAGAUAUAAUAUUUACAACACUCCCCCUUGGAUGUCCACCCAUUGAUGAUGGUGUUGGACGCGCUUAAUGUUGCCUCAUUAAAAACCUUGCCAGGUAACAAUAAAACCCAGUGGGCCGGGAUAAAAAUAACCCUGGUCGAAGGACAAAAAGAGCACAACGCGCAUAUAUCCUAGGUAACAUGUUCCUUGUUGCUAUCCUUGGUUGGAGUCUCCCCCUGAUCCUUGCAAGCUUUGCUUAACAACUUUGAGAGUUGUCUCAAACCAAUCUUUUCCACUAACUUCUUGAACGUACACUUAGGCAGAGAUUUGGUGAACAAAUCAGCUAAGUUCUCAUCAGAUCGAAUUUGCUUAACCACGAUCUCUUGAUUCUUUUGUAGUUCAUGAGUAUGGAAGAAUUUAGGAGCGAUAUGCUUAGUCUUGUCACCUUUGAUAAAUCCCUCUUUAAUCUGAGCAAUACAUGCAACAUUGUCUUCAUACAUAACUGUUGGAUUGUCAGUAACUGAAGACAAACCACUGGUGCUCCGAAUGUGAUGAAUCAUGGAUCUUAGUCAGAAACAUUCUUUGCCAGCUUCAUACAAUGCAAUUAUUUCUGAGUGGUUAGAGGAAGUCGCUACAAGUGUUUGCUUGGAAGACCGCCAUGAAACUGCGGUGUCUCCACAAGUAAAAAUAUAUCCUGUUUGGGAACGACCUCUAUGUGGAUCAGAGAGAUAUCCUGCAUCGGCAUAUCCAACAAUCGUGGGACUAUCAACCGAUUUAUUUGUGUAAAACAAUCCCAUAUCCACAGUACCACGAAGAUAGCGUAAAAUGUCUUUUACUCCUUUCCAAUGACGUGAUGUGGGAGCAGAGCUAUAUCUUGCCAACACACUAACUGCAAAAGAAAUAUCUGGCCUUGUACAUUGUGCUAAGUAGAGUAAGGCACCAAUGACACUAAGAUAUGGUACUUCUGGCAAGGAUAAUUUCGUCAUCUUGUCUGGGACGAAAUGGAUCUUUCAUAGGGUCAAGGCUCCGAACGACCAUUGGGGUACUCAGUGAGUGAGCUGUACCCAUACCAAAUCUCUUUAGAAUCUUCUUAGUAUAAGCAAAUUGAUGGACAAGUAUCCCACUAUCCAAAUGCUCAAUCUGCAGCCCGAGGCAAUAUUUUGUUUUUCCAAGGUCUUUCAUUUCAAAUUCUUUCUUUAAGUAUUCAGCAGUUUUUUCAAGUUCCUCAGAACAUCCAAUCAGAUUCAUGUCAUCGACAUAAACUGCAACUAUUGCAAACCCAGAAUUUGACUUUUUAAUGAACACACAGGGACAAAUUGGAUCAUUGACAUAUCCUUCUCUAAGUAGAUACUCACUGAGACGGUUGUACCACAUACGUUCGGAUUGUUUCAAUCCAUACAAGGAUCGUCUCAAUUUAAUUGAAUACAUGUUGUGAGGCUUUAUGGUUGCUUCAGGCAACCUAAAUCCUUCUGGAACUUUCAUGUAGAUAUCAGUAUCUAACUCACCGUAUAGGUAUGCAGUAACAACGUCCAUAAGUCGCAUAUCAAGUUUUUCAGAAACUACUAAACUUAUUAGAUAGCGAAAUGUGAUAACAUCCAUUACGGGAGAAUAUGUUUCCUCAUAAUCUAUCCCAGGUCGUUGUGAAAAACCUUGUGCAACAAGUCGUGCUUUAUAUCUUGCAAUCUCAUUUUUCUCGUUACGCUUUCUUACAACAAUCGUUUAUAUCCGACAAGUUUAACGUUGGGUGGUGUUUGGACAACAGGUCCAAAUACACUGCGUUUUUCAAGAGAAUUCAAUUAAGUUUGGAUUGCAUCUUUCCAUUUGGGCCAAUCAUGUCUCUGUUUACAUUCAUUAAUAGAGCGAGGUUCAGUGUCAUCACCUUUUAUUAUUUCAGUCGCUACAGCGAAUGAGAACACAUCGUCUACAGUCAUGUCUCUACGAUCCCACAACUCAUUGGUGUAAACAUAAUUUACAGAAAUUUCCUUAUUUUCAGGUACAACCUCUUCAUAGGCUUGUGUACCAACAUCAUUUUCCUCUUCUGUAAUUACAGGAUCAUGAGUUGUAGGUUGGGCAUUGUUGGUUUGCCCAAUAUUCUCUUCAGGGAUGAUUUCAUCAAGAUUCUGAUUUAUCUUUGAUCUCCUCUUUCUUGGAACCAAAUCCUUUGAACCUGAAGGCCUGCCACGCUUCCGGCAUGCAGCAGGUGGUUCAUUUGCUGCCAUAUUAUUUCCGAUCUGGACAUUAAUUCUUGCAGGUGCAUUCAUUGCCGGAAUAUGCGAUCUUGUCACUCUUGCUGUGUUAUUGAAUGCAUCAGGCAUUUUGUCAGCAAUAUUUUGAAGAUGCAAAAUCCUUCGUACUUCUAUUUCACUUUCUUUGGUAUGAGGAUCAAGAUGAGAUAUUGUGGGUACAGUCCACAUUAAUUCACGACGUUCAUUUGGAACAGUCUUAUCUCCCCCUAACGGCGGGAAUGUUGUCUCAUCAAAUUGGCAAUCUGCAAACCGUGCAGUGAAUGUAUCACCCGUCAUGGGUUCUAAAUAUCUAAUAAUGGAUGGCGAAUCAAAACCAAUAUAGAUGCCCAAUCGACGUUGGGGGCCCAUUUUUGUACGUUGUGGCGGUGCAAUAGGCACAUAAACAAUACACCCAAAUGUUCGAAGAUGAGAAAUAUUGGGUUGGCUCCCAGAUACAAGUUGCAAUGGGGAAUACUGAUGGUUGGCUAUGGGUCUCAACCGAACUAAAGCUGAUGCAUGCAAAAUUGCAUGUCCCCAUGCAGAAACUGGCAUCUUUGUUCGCAUUAGCAAAGUGCGCGCUAUUAUUUGAAGUCGCUUAAUAAAAGCUUCUGCCAAACCAUUCUAUGUAUGAACAUGAGGAACUGAAUGUUCAAUUUCGAUCCUCAAAGACAAGCAGUAAUCAUUGAAAGUUUGAGAUGUAAAUUCACCAGCAUUGUCUAGACGAAUAGACUUGAUAGAGUAAUCUGGGAAUUGAGCUCGUAAUUUAAUUAGCUGAGCAAGUAGCUUGGCAAAUGCUACAUUACGAGUAGACAAGAGGCAAACAUGUGACCAUCUUGUAGAAGCAUCAACUAAGACCAUAAAAUAUCGAAAUGGUCCACAAGAAGGGUCAAUAGGCCCACAAAUGUCCCCUUGAAUUCUUUGCAGGAAAGAUGGGGAUUCGAUAUCUACCUUUGCAUAUGAUGGUUUAACCACCAAUUUCCCUUGUGCACAAGCUUUGCAAGGGUUGCUUGGCAAAACAAUGUGUUUAGUCAUCAAUGGAUGUCCAUGUGAAUUAGUAAUGAUCCUACGCAUUAUGGUGGAUCCUGGGUGACCCAAACGAUCAUGCCAGAGCAUAAAGAUAUGUUGAUUUUUGAACUGCUGGUUCACAACAUGAUAUGCCUCAAUGGGUUUGAUGGUUGUGUGAUACAAACCAGAUGAUAGGGCAACUAAUUUUUCCAAUAUCUGCUUCUGGCAGUUGUCAUUGGAUGUAAUGCAAAGGUAUUCCAUAUCAUUGUCAUUUGUGGUCUCCAUGUGGUAUCCGUUUAAACGGAUAUCUCUAAAACUGAGGAGAUUUCUUCUGGAUCUCGAAGAGUACAAAGCCUCUUGAAUUGACAAUUGGGUUCCAUUUGGUAGUCUAAUGUGAGCUCUACCAGAACCCAAACUCAAUUACUACUUUGUUCUGCUAUGUGUGCGAUAAAUACAUAACAUCGUAUAUUUGUAUAUGGAAAUUUUUGUUUCUGAAUUCUCUUUCUCUGCUCUCACACAUAGUUUAUUGGUUAUAAAGUAGCAUCUACCUGAUUACAUUUUUUUAUGGAAAUUUCAUGUAUUUAUCAUGCUAAUUAACUGUACGUUACUAUCUCUAUGAAGGCAUGAAAACGAAUUUUGGAUGCCCUCAACGUACGAAGGAUGGAGAUGAUGUGUGUCUUGCUGACAGUGCUACUACACAUACGAUCCUUCGCGAUCGGGCUUAUUUCUCCACUUUGAUACCUUCCAAAGCAAAUGUAACUACUAUAUCUGGUCCUGCAGACCUGAUUGAAGGUUCUGGUAGAGCUCACAUUAGACUACCAAAUGGAACCCAAUUGUCAAUUCAAGAGGCUUUGUACUCUUCGAGAUCCAGAAGAAAUCUCCUCAGUUUUAGAGAUAUCCGUUUAAACGGAUACCACAUGGAGACCACAAAUGACAAUGAUAUGGAAUACCUUUGCAUUACAUCCAAUGACAACUGCCAGAAGCAGAUAUUGGAAAAAUUAGUUGCCCUAUCAUCUGGUUUGUAUCACACAACCAUCAAACCCAUUGAGGCAUAUCAUGUUGUGAACCAGCAGUUCAAAAAUCAACAUAUCUUUAUGCUCUGGCAUGAUCGUUUGGAGGCUGGGUUUUCGGCCUUUAUUGUAGCCCCAAGGUUAUGUGCUUCGAGAUGGAUCUCGGCAUCAAGAGCCCAAGACAGGUAGUUCUUCCCAGAGAUGUCAAGGGCCUCAAAAUCCAAUUUUGCCAAAUUGGUCAUCUUCCUACACACAAUGGAGAAGGGAUACAUUAGGACCCAUAUAUCUGUUAGAACUACAUGUUCUUAACAAAUAAUAGAUGUCGAACUUCGGGUUCGAAAAAGAAGUAUAUUAAACAUUGGAUUGUAAAUAUGUGCAUGAAGCUUCGGGUUCAUGUUCUUAUGAUUAGGAACUUUCAGUUCUAGGAGUAUGUAUUUCUAUGAACUUCAGGUUCAAGAAGGAAUAUACACUUGAAACUUCUGGUUUAGAGUGAUGAUAGUGAAGCUUCAGGUUCACUUGUAUUGAUAUAUAUAGACAUAUAUUAGAUCAUAUGAUGAGCAAACAAAAUUGUAUGUUUAUAUGCAUAACAUUGACUAGAUACAAGAAAUCAUAUAUAAUUAAUAUGGACAUCUUUGUUGUUUGUGGUUAGGAACAAAUAUUAAAAGAAAUACCAUAGGUAUAGAAGAGAAAGCAUACGGAACAUGAUCAACUUUGGGGUCAAUCGGCAGGAAAAAAAAAUAUAAACUGAUACAACAUACAAAAGUACAAAGAAGGUAAAUUGAAAUAUAAAGCUCAUAGAUCUUGAGUUAUGGCUUAGAAGCAACAAAGUUGCACCAUAAGAACUCGUUGAUCAUCAUGGAGCGUGCUGAUAACGUGAUGUAAAAUAAGAACUUAGUUUGUAGAGAGUAAGAAACGAAUAGGGAGAAGGAGGAAAAGUUGAGAGAUCUUUUAUUCAGUCUCAUAGGCCUCCAUUAUAUAGAGGUAGGGUUUACACGAUAAGUACUCAGACUAUUGAGAUAUUACAUGUAAGUCCCUAACUAAUAACGUGAACAGCCACAUAAGAUAUAAUAUUUACAACAAGGGUAAGAUUUUAUAUUCAUUUUUCUUUUUUGUAAUUUAACAUCAACCUAAUUGGAUGCUUUUAAUUAUUUUUGAUUGUUUUUAACUAAUAUGAUCACACAAAGAGAAAAGAAAAUUUUGGGCCCCUUAAGGCUCCGGACCUUGAGUCCAUCGACUCUUAGAACUCUAUUUAGAUACGGGUCUGAUGUAAAUACACAAAUACACAAGUCUUGUUAGGGUUUUAGCUUCUCCAUCAGGGUGCUUCAUACAUACUGGUUAAGUAUCUGCUUCAAAAAGAUUUAUGCGAAUCUACAAAAUUGAAAUCGUUGAAGAACAAAAUGUUUGAUCAAGUGAAAUAAGAGCGGCAAUGAAGGGCUCUGGGACCAUUUCAUAAUUUCGAUACAUAACGACUCCAAUCUUUUCAAUAUCGAUAAGCCAUAACAAGGAGGACUCUGAAUAUCUUGAUGUCUGUAUUUUCAUAGUAACCUAGCUAACAAUUCCGAUAUCUUAAUG
rnacentral:lncRNA from 1 species